UGAUAUAACCCGCUGGUCUUCACCAUUAAUGAUCAGUGACUGUGACAGUCCAGACACACCAAGAUGCUUCCUCCGACAUGUCUGCUCUGUGUCUUCUAUCUUUACAUACAAGCUUCCAGAGGAGACAUAGUGAUGACCCAGACUCCGAAUUCUAUUUCUAAGUCACCGGGAGACUCAGUCACCAUGUCAUGUACAUCUAGUCGAAGCCUCUUAUACAGUGCAGAUGGGAAGGAUUACUUACACUGGUACCAGCAGAGACCAGGACAACCUCCAACACUGAUUAUCACCUGGGCCAAAACUCGCGAGGCCGGGAUUCCCGAUCGGAUCAGCGGAUCUGGAUCUGGGUCUGAUUUCACUCUCACAAUCACCGGGGUAAAAGAAGAAGAUGAAGCCACUUAUUACUGUCAGCAGCGUUGGGAUUACCCUCUCACACAGUGAUACAGAGCCGUACAAAAACCUCCUUCCUCUUUUUGCUCCCCUUCUUAUCAUGAUAAAUAUAUACUAGAUGUAUUGCUGCAUGCAUGGACUCUUCAUGUCUUUUUCCAGUGACAGGUAUAUGAAUGACCGAAUUUGCAUUAACAUUAUCACAGGAGUAAGCAUUUUACUAAUGGUGGUCAUACCCGCUUCAAUUUUUUAUAUCCGAUUGAUGUGUGUUUUAAUCAAAAGGACCAAAUCUGAAAAGAGAGCGAAUAGACAUAACUUCCUUCUGAUCGAUGCAGACUCAAUUUUGAUCAGAUUUACUCAACCUGAAACAAUCAGGCAGGGUGAAAAAUUACUGAUCAUUUUACAUGGCUCAGCAGCACUCACAUACUUGCAUAAUAUGCAAUGCAAUAAUGCAUUUGGGUGGAAAAAUAUGAAUGCAAUCUU